UCUCCAUCUAUAUCUCACACUCGUGUCAAUGUGCUCCACAUCGUCAAUUUCGCCGCCCCCACCCCCCUAUCUUCAGUCUUAGUAUCUCAUGUCGUGCUGCCUCCUCAAAUGGUGCUCCCUCCCUUCCACCGCCGGACAAAUCAAAGCAUCGUCGCGCUCCUAAUCAUAUGGUUCUUCACGCGUCACUUGGUGUAUUCGUCUAGAGCCCCGUUCAAGCUCGCCGCCACAUGUCAUCGCCAAUCUUCCCCCAUCAAGCAGCGUCAACAAUGGUGGUGAAGACAAGGUGUUGUCCACCAUAGAGUAAGUAGUGACAGUAGACGAACCAGUCAAUGUAGUUGGUCGGAAGGGAGUAGUCGCAUCGAGAUGCUCUCCAAAAAUCUUAUCUCUGCUUACCCAGUGCAGUGUCCUCAAGAGACGCGGCUUCGGAGGCGUGCUCUCUGGAGCUAUGCAUGUAGUCAUCAAGGAGGGAUCGCCGGAAAAAACAUCACAAUAACAUGAUGAGCUUGGUCGGUGUUUGUGUAGUUGUCUCAACAUACAUAUUAUUUUCUUUUUUCUCACUUGGAUGACUUGUUGUAUGGACUUCGGUUGAUGCUUUAUUUAUAAAACGAAGCAAAAGUCUAUUUCAAGAAUAAUCUAGACAAAAAAAAUUAAAGGUUCAA